rnacentral:RNase_P_RNA from 1 species
CGAUGGUAAUCGGAGAGGAAAGUCCAGACAACGCAGAGUACCGCACUUCCCAAAAGGAAGAAUUUCGGGCGCAAAUCCGAAGUAUAGAGAGUGCCGCAGAAAACAAACAUCCCCGCCUGGGGUGGGGUUAAGGUGAAAAGGUGAGGUAAGAGCUCACCGCCAGGGUGGUAACGCCCUGUGGCUUGGUAAACCUUGCGGGUUGCAAUGCCAAAUAAGCUGAGGCUUGAGGGCUACUCGUCCAAUCUCAGUGGGUAGGCAGCUUAGAUAAAUGAUAAGGGGUCCCUUUUUGGGGCUACAGAAUCUGGCUUAUAGGCCUGUUUU